UACAGAGGUGGCAAGCGUUGUUCGGAAUUACUGGGCGUAAAGGGCGCGUAGGCGGCUUAACAAGUCACUUGUGAAAUCUCCGGGCUUAACUCGGAACGGCCAAGUGAAACUGUUAUGCUAGAGUGCGGAAGGGGCAAUCGGAAUUCUUGGUGUAGCGGUGAAAUGCGUAGAUAUCAAGAGGAACACCUGAGGUGAAGACGGGUUGCUGGGCCGACACUGACGCUGAUGCGCGAAAGCCAGGGGAGCAAACGGG
rnacentral:rRNA from 1 species